rnacentral:rRNA from 1 species
GAUGAACGCUGGCGGCGUGCCUAAUACAUGCAAGUCGAGCGAACAGACGAGGAGCUUGCUUCUCUGACGUUAGCGGCGGACGGGUGAGUAACACGUGGAUAACCUACCUAUAAGACUGGGAUAACUUCGGGAAACCGGAGCUAAUACCGGAUAAUAUAUUGAACCGCAUGGUUCAAUAGUGAAAGACGGUUUUGCUGUCACUUAUAGAUGGAUCCGCGCCGCAUUAGCUAGUUGGUAAGGUAACGGCUUACCAAGGCAACGAUGCGUAGCCGACCUGAGAGGGUGAUCGGCCACACUGGAACUGAGACACGGUCCAGACUCCUACGGGAGGCAGCAGUAGGGAAUCUUCCGCAAUGGGCGAAAGCCUGACGGAGCAACGCCGCGUGAGUGAUGAAGGUCUUCGGAUCGUAAAACUCUGUUAUUAGGGAAGAACAAAUGUGUAAGUAACUAUGCACGUCUUGACGGUACCUAAUCGGAAAGCCACGGCUAACUACGUG